AUUGUGUUUAUACAUGUAUGUCAAACAGACAUGACUGCAAAAUGGAUUCCUAUAUUAGUUCUAUAUGUCUCCCAACAUAUAUUAGCUUGUGAUGACGUCAGCACAUCCGCCUGUCAGAAGUUUGCCGCACAAAACCCAGCGAUGUGUCACGAUGGGAGUUGUUACGCUACCCUGUGUCCAAGAACCUGUCACAAAUGUGCGUCUUUGAAAUGCUUCUCUUGUGGAACUGUGGCUAGACCUGAAAUGUGCAACACAACAAUAGAGUGUCCAAGCAAGGAUUUUGAAUGUAUUAUAGCAAAAUCCUUCACACAUGACUUUAGAGAAGAAUUUGCCCUUGGAUGUGCUUUACGAAGUGUUUGUGACAGUCACAACAACGGGAUGUCCUGUUGUUCCACUGACUUAUGCAACAACAACCAGCCAACAACAGCAAGAAAGCUUCCAAUCAGAAGGGAAAAUAAAGACAAAGCAGUGAGACAGACUGCUACCUCCUGUUCAGACAUUCAUGAAGACGGUUGUCGAGAUCUUCUUUCCACCGAUCCCAACAUAUGUGACACAACUUGUGCCAAAACACUUUGUCCUGUUACUUGUGGUGGCUGCAAACAGUGCUAUGACUGUGAAUUUGUUUCUGAUUCUAGUCAUUGUACCUCCAAACGUGUCUGUCAACCAGGGGAGUAUUGUUACCGGAUAGAAGCAGUCAGUGCGAACUUUGAGCACGGUUUUCGACUUGGAUGCGCAACAGAUAUUUUAUGCAGCAAAUUAACAUCGAUUGCGUUGAACGUGUUUGGACGAAAGCGAUCUGUGGCAGGUGAUUGUUGCCAUGGUAACCUAUGUAACGACCAUAUCAAAACCGUGACAACCACAACAAUGAUGGCGACAACACAACCGACAACUAAAAGAACAACAACAAGAACAACAUCUAAACAUCAUUCAUCAUGCCCGUGCGCAGGAACUGAUCAUUUUCAAGUCAACAAUGAGUGUUUCUUCGUCUCCAGUUCACACGGGACAAGGCAACAAGGAAAGGAUUACUGUAUAAGUCAUUGCGGGCAACUAGCCGCCUUUACAGACGAAUCCCAAUUGGAAACUGUCCGACACCGCAUCUACUCAUCAAGUCAUUUCCAUAAUCAUCAUUUCGACCACAUGUUUGUGGACGCUGUGAAACAUCACAAAAGUCACACACACCCUACAUACAUCUGGGAGUCCACUGGAAGGACAGUCCCGACUAUUUUCCUGCGUCAUCGAAACAAUACCGCAACGUACAAUGACAUGUGUGCCGUCACAUCCGGUGUGCACUCGACUCACAUUCAGUCUGAGAGUUGCUCUGCUAAUCGUUAUGCUCUUUGUCAGCUUAGGUAGCAUUAAACAAGUUUGACAUCUCCUUU
rnacentral:misc_RNA from 1 species